rnacentral:misc_RNA from 1 species
GAUGAAGAACGCAGCGAAAUGCGAUAAGUAAUGUGAAUUGCAGAAUUCAGUUAAUCAUCGAAUCUUUGAACGCACAUUGCGCCCGCCAGCACUCUGGCGGGCAUGCCUGUUCGAGCGUCAUUUCAACCAUCAAGCCCCCAGGGGCUUGUGCUGGGGCCCUGCGGCUGCCCGCAGGCCCUGAAAACCAGUGGCGGGCUCGCUAGUCACACCGAGCGCAGUAGCACAUCUCGCUCAGGGCGUGCGGCGGGCUCCUGCCGUGAAACCCCCCACUGUAACCCCAAAGGUUGACCUCGGAUCAGGUAGGAAUACCCGCUGAACUUAAGCAUAUCAAUAAGCGGAGGA